rnacentral:piRNA from 1 species
UGGCUCCCUUUUGCAAUUCUUCAGAAACCA